rnacentral:rRNA from 1 species
GAUGAACGCUCGCGGCAGGCCUAACACAUGCAAGUCGAAGGAGGAGCCUUCGGGCUUCGACCGGCGUACGGGUGCGUAACGCGUAUACAAUCUGCCUUUCACAUAGGGAUAGCCCGAAGAAAUUUGGAUUAAUACCUAAUGGUAUAUAGAUGUGGCAUCACCUUUAUAUUAAAGCUGAGGCGGUGAAAGAUGAGUAUGCGUUCUAUUAGCUAGUUGGAGAGGUAACGGCUCCCCAAGGCGACGAUAGAUAGGGGUUCUGAGAGGGAUAUCCCCCACACUGGUACUGAGAUACGGACCAGACUCCUACGGGAGGCAGCAGUGAGGAAUAUUGGACAAUGGUCGGAAGACUGAUCCAGCCAUGCCGCGUGCAUGAAGACGGCCUUAUGGGUUGUAAACUGCUUUUGCAGGGGAAGAAUAAGGACUACGCGUAGUUUGAUGACGGUACUCUGCGAAUAAGCAUCGGCUAACUCCGUG